rnacentral:rRNA from 1 species
AUGUCAAAUCAUCAUGCCCUUUAUGCCCUGGGCUACACACGUACUACAAUGGUCGUAACAGAGGGAAGCAAGAUAGAGAUAUGGAGCAAAACCCUAAAAGCGGUCUCAGUUCGGAUUGAAGGCUGAAAUUCGCCUACAUGAAGCUGGAAUUGCUAGUAAUGGCAGGUCAGCAUACUGCCGUGAAUACGUUCCCGGGCCUU